rnacentral:lncRNA from 10 species
CUCUUGGGCUGAGGAAAGCCUCCCACUUCAGCUUCGCAGGCUAUUUCACAAGCAUGGUCUUUCUUGCUCAAAACUAUCCAGUGGGUUGGGUAUGAGAGAAAGCAAUGCCCUAAUCACGUGAUGAAGCAUCAGUCACAGCAGUGUCUGUAGGUACCAGUCAGGCCACCAACAAUGUGUGGACUCAAACUCCGGGCUUGACUCCUAACUCCAUGGCCUUUCUAUCCUGAAGUGAAAAAUAAUCUAUUUUUAAGAUCACAGAAUGCCAAAUAAACCAUGAGGUCUAAAGUCUUUCUUUCCUCCAUUUGUCUGAUGAAAGAAGUUGGACUAACUUUCUCAACACCCAUUUUAUUUUCUCCCACUUCCACGAGAUGCUUCUGGGAAAAUAAAAAGGUUCCAUAGUGAAUAAGUUUUGGAUGACUGUAUUUGGCAAAUGUCUUCUUGGCAAUUCACAAUGCAAAUUAGCAAAAGGAAGUUUCUUAGAUGUCCGGCAGUUUCUUUUAAAGUUUUAUUUAAACCUAUUUACCCAAAUUGUA